GGCCUCGUGGCGCAACUGAAUAGCGCACUUGAUUACGGCUCAAGAGGUUGCUGGUUUGAAUCCAGCCGAGGUCACAA
rnacentral:tRNA from 2 species